rnacentral:rRNA from 1 species
AUUGAACGCUAGCGGCAUGCCUUACACAUGCAAGUCGAACGGCAGCACGGGGGGCAACCCUGGUGGCGAGUGGCGAACGGGUGAGUAAUGCAUCGGAACGUGCCCAUCGAUGGGGGAUAACUGCGCGAAAGCGUUGCUAAUACCGCAUACGACCUACGGGUGAAAGCAGGGGACCGCAAGGCCUUGCGUCGAUGGAGCGGCCGAUGCCGGAUUAGCUAGUUGGUGAGGUAAAGGCUCACCAAGGCGACGAUCCGUAGCUGGUCUGAGAGGACGACCCAGCCACACUGGGACUGAGACACGGCCCAGACUCCUACGGGAGGCAGCAGUGGGGAAUCUUGGACAAUGGGCGAAAGCCUGAUCCAGCAAUGCCGCGUGUGGGAAGAAGGCCCUCGGGUUGUAAACCACUUUUGGCGGGAAAGAAAUGGUCUGUGCUAAUACCACGGAUUGAUGACGGUACCCGCAGAAUAAGCACCGGCUAACUACGUG